rnacentral:rRNA from 1 species
GAUGAACGCUAGCUGCAGGCUUAACACAUGCAAGUCGAGGGGCAGCAUGGGGGUUGCUUGCAAUCCCCGAUGGCGACCGGCGCACGGGUGAGUAACGAGUAUCCAACCUGCCCGUCACCACGGGAUAACACGGCGAAAGUCGGACUAAUACCGUAAGUUGUGGAUUGACGGCAUCAGAGUUGGACGAAAGGAUGGGGGGCGAGGGAUGUGGAUGCGUCCGGUUGGCUGGACGGCGGGGUGAGGGGGCACCGGGGCGACGGUCGGUAGGGGUACUGAGGGGGAGGGCCCCCACGCUGGAACGGAGACACGGUCCCGACUCCUACGGGAGGCAGCAUUGAGGAAUAUUGGGCAAUGAGCGUAACCCUGAACCAGCCAAGUAGCGUGCAGGAUGACGGCCCUAUGGGUUGUAAACUGCUUUUAUGCGGGGAUAAAGUGACCCACGUGUCGGUUUUUGCAGGUACCUCAUUAAUAAGGACCGGCUAAUUCCGUG